UACGGGGGGGGCAAGCGUUGUUCGGAAUUACUGGGCGUAAAGGGUGCGUAGGCGGUUCCUUAAGUCAGUGGUGAAAUACUUCAGCUCAACUGGAGAGGUGCCAUUGAUACUGGGGAACUUGAGUACUGAUGAGGUAGGCGGAAUGGACGGUGUAGCGGUGAAAUGCCUAGAUAUCGUCCAGAACACCGAUAGCGAAGGCAGCUUACUAAAGAGUAACUGACGCUGAGGCACGAAAGCGUGGGGAGCAAACAGG
rnacentral:rRNA from 1 species